CAUGGAAGCUGGGUUCCCAAAAAACUAUCCAUCCAAGAGUUAGCAGGUCAGAAACUGUAGUAUCUUUGAGAACGCAGUCUCAGAAGUGGUUCUGCAUCACUCUAUUUCAUCCACAAUAUCCUAUUUGUUACUAAGUUAAGCCCUAUUCAGUGUCAGGAGGUGGAGACUACUAGGCCAGCAAUCACCUGCCAGGAUGGGAGGACCUCUGGGGGCCACCUUGGAAGCCAGUCCCCAUCAUGGAACUGUCCAUUGACAGAAUAGGCUGUGUCAUGAGACAAUAAGUGCCUGGAGGUACACAAACAAACCUGGCCCCAAACUGAGUAAAUGAGGAAAGGGGGUGGGCAGUUUUCUAGAGCACAUUGUGAAUAGUCUAGACAAGCUUCCUCCUUUCAGAACUCAUUGUUCUCUAAGGAGUAUGUAAACUGACUUGAAAAAAAGAAAAGAGAGAGGGAAAUUAAGUGAGUUGAAAACACCAAAAUAGCUCUCAUUUUUUAGAGUGAAACUAUUUGAUAAAUUAUUUGAGGGUUACAUUUAUGAAGCGGGCAUGGAGGUGAGGGCAAACCAGAGCAAUCCCCCAAGAUGAGAUGAUUGGCAGUAUACCCUGGAGAAGGGAGCAAGAAUUUAAACACUGAGAAUUGUUUAAUUAGCCUAACUUCAUUCAAGACCUCUCAGCCUCAUUUUCAUUGUUUGUCUUACAUACAUAACAUCCUUCGGUAUCAGCCCAUCUUUUUGCAGCAUCAAGCCCCAAGACUCUGAAACAGUGUUUUAGAUAACCUACUAGGCAUUUCAUUCUCUAAAGAAACCAAUUAUAUAUGAAAUUAAUAAUUAAAAAUUAUAAAUAGAAAGAACAAGAAAACAUGCAUACUCCAUGUCCUGCGGGUAGAUUUUUGCAUGGUGUGUAGGGAAUUAGGUGCAAAAAAAUCCAUUUAUGUUAAUGGGCAUUGCAUGUCUAAUUUCUCAUGCACCACACUGCCGACUUCCCCCUGUGUCUUUGUCAGUACAUGGGACUGAUGGAGGGGGAAAGAAAAGUGAAUGAUUUAUUUGAUGGUCUGUCAAUCAUAACAGCAACCAGAGAAAUUCCAAAACUGUUUUUAACCUCUAUAGAAACAGUUAGUUAGACCAUAUGCUUUUUUCUUCUUGCCAGAUGCUGUCAUUCAUCAAUUUCCUAUUAAGAAAAUGGGAUUCUGCAAAACCACUGAGGGUCUUUCUCAUUUGUAAUAGAUAUGCCACAAAAUCAGAUUGCAAACGUAUUCUGCAGCUUGUGCAAAAUAACUUCUGACACUUGCUAAUCUCCAUAUUAAUUCUGACUGACCUUUGAUGGUGUUUCUUAUGUGUGGUCAGAACAUCAUCCAAAAAUAUUAUUUUAAAAUUACUUUUACCCUGAGUUUAAGCCUAGAGGUUAAAUAGAUUUGUUUGUGAUUAUCCAGUCUAUAAAAAAGAAAUUAAAUGGACAUUUAAAAAUACCAGUUCCCUCCUAAAAUACUCUUUAGAUAGUAAAGAGAGAUAAUAAAAUGUCUGAGAAUUAAAGUAAGCAACAUGAGCCAAGCAUUGAUCACUCGAAGACAUCAAAGAAACUGAAAAAAAAUUUUUUUAAUUAUAUUGACCCCUCUCACCCCACCAAGUACAAAGAUCAUUUUGUUGAGAGCAGAUGGCUGCUAAUUACUAUAAGCUCCUGAGUGGAUUUGUUUGUUUGCUUGUUUGUUUAUAAUCAUGGAUAAAGACACCUAGAAAACCUAAGGACUCCUUUUCUUAGGGACAAUAAAAUCCAUCCUCUCCUCAGCAGCAGUACAUCGUCAGGCUUCAGGACAUGGCUAUAACAACAAUUGCAUUUUGGGUUUUAAAUUUGAAUGUUCUAGGUAGUUGGAAUAUAUUGACACUUGCCAUCAUUUCUAACACAGAUUUUCUUGAGGUAUUCUUAUGAUAACACUGGUGGCUUCAAAUGUUUGCUUGUCAUGCCGAACUCACUGAGCAAACCAGCGAACAUGGAAGUUUAAGGGAAAAGAAUACCACUGCACAACUUUCAAUCUGCAGCAUUUUGCAUUUCUUAUUAAUAGGAACUGACUCUUUGACAAACCCUGCAAAUGCUUUAUAGGAGUGAGGAAUGCUCUGAAAUUCAAGGCAAAUUUCGUUCAAUAGUUAAGCACUGAUCAAAAUUCUGAAUUUUCUCUGGCUGUCAGCCAGCAAGCAGGGGCUGCUUAUUGUUUAAGAUUUUAGUAGAAAGCCACUCAGAGGGGAGGGGAAAAAAAAAAAAAAUCUAUGACUUUACAGCUGUCAGACUUUGUUGUAUCUACUCCAGCCUAAUAUUCUCAAGUCUAAUUUUUUUUUUAAGCUUUGUCUUUUUAUUCAUAGACCCAGUAGAGAGUGCAUAUAGCCAUAAACGUGUGCCUCCAUCACACGGCAUUGCUAUUGACCCCUGCCCUGAGCUGAAGAUUGUACCUUCUCAGGGGAUAACAAAUGAUUCACUUUGCAGGUAGGCAGAGGCCUGGAGCUCCCUUCUCCAGACACUGCCAAUUUUCCUGAAUGAUCUCUUGUGAUUGGUUUUCUCAUAUGAAUGGACUCUCUGAGUACACCACCACCAAACUCUGUUUAUUUAGGAAUAUGUCUUUGACAAGAACAGCUGUCCUGGGGUUGAAAUGAUUAGUACUUUAUCUGCUAAUGCAGGUUCCCAUUUGGCUGUGGGCUAAAAACACAUUUCCAUCCUGGGAAAACAUUGCUGCCAUUUCUUGGCCCCCAAACAAGUUUUUGGUGUUUGAUCAAGCUGAGCCACUAAAAAAAAAUGACAAUAAUCUUAUGUAAGGUCACUGGCUUGACCUCUAACGGCCGACUAAGGUUCCAGUUCUGUAAGGUGAACCAGAAAAACGAGCAAGCUCUGUGCAUAGAAAUAGUAGCCAAGUUUCCUCUAUUAAUCCAGCCUCACUUGGGAGCAUGGUUAAAAUAAGGAUACAGGUGAGCACAAAAGAGAUAGGAUCCUGAGUCUGACCUUGACUUAGAGAGAAAAUUCUUUAACAGGUCCAUAGUGGGUGGGAGAAAUGGAGCUAGAGGCCCUCAGCCAGAAAAUUAUUUAACCUGGAGCUAACAUUCUUUCAAACUUCCUGUUUAGGAGUGUUAAGGUAUUUCCAAGCACAGUUGUACAAACACAUAUCCAUUGUGAGAUACAAAUAUGUGUAGUCUGUUGAAUAAAAUAUUAAAAAGUAACCACUACUUUUUGAAAUAUUGGUCUGUCAUUUUUUAGUGUUUUGAUUAUUUGGGCAUCUUAAUGCUUUUCAAUAGCAUCUGCCGAAGCCCACUGAAAAACUUUAAGAUUGGUUUAAAGCACUGUUAAACUAACCCGCAAAGAGCAGAGCCCAUAACAAAUUAGUAAAUUGUCACAAACUAGGUGGCAAGACAGCAAAAAUAUAUUUUCUCAAAGUCCUGAAGAUGAACCACUUCAAAUCAAAUUAUCAGCAGGGCCAUAUUCUCUGAAGGCUCCAGGAAGACUCUUUCCUUGCCUUUUCCUUUCUUCUGGUAGCUCCCAGCAGUCCUCAUUAUUCCCUGUCACAUCUUCUUUGAGGCUCUGUCUCUGUUUCCGUGUGUCUCUCUGUGUAACAUCUGCUUUCUUAUACAUCCGUCAUUGGAUUUAGGGUCCACCCUAGUCCUAUAUGACCUCAUCUUAAAUACAUCUGCCAAGAUCCUAGUCUUAAAUAAGGUCAUAUUCCCAGGUAGACCUGAAUUUUGGGAAAACACAUCAGCCCAAAUCUCUUUCUCCAUGUGACCUACUGGGAUAACUAGGAAAAUAGCAGGAACAGUGGCCUACCUUUUUCUUUGAAAGGUAUUUGAUGACCUGACAGUUGUAGUAAAGACCACAGCAAAGGCCUGUAGAAUAAACAAUGUGAAAAUAAGACAGAGGCACAGAGACAAGGAAAUUUCUUCAUGCCUUCCUCAUAGAGCCCAUGUAUUUUCCCAACCAAAGUCUUAGCUGUACUUCACACUUGCCCCCUCAGCAGAGAAACUGGUCUCCCCAUGGCCCAAGGCACAGGAACAUGUGUCACAUGGGGACUGGAAGCCACUGUAAAUGUGGCACCUCUUCUUAAUGCAUCAGUUGUAUUCAAUUAUUUAGUUAUUAAAAACAGGUUUAGGUUGAAAUAAA
rnacentral:lncRNA from 1 species